UUUUUUCCCUCUCUAAUUUUUCACAAUCCGCCAAAAAUUAAUAAAAUAUAUAACAAAAAUUAAAAAAAACAUACUUAACAAACAUGUUUCACUCUCAACUCACUCUCAGUCGACAACCAGUACUGUGAAUCAACCCACUGCCGACUGCCGACUACCGCUCCAAUUUUCGCUUCGACUACCACUCCGACUACCGCUCUAAUUUACAAUAGCCUGAUUUAUAGAAGUCACUACCAAAGCAUAAAUAAGCUUUUGUUGUGUUGAUUAGUUCAGCUUCUAGGCGUCUAUGGAAACAGGCCUGUGUUGAUUGGUUCAGCUCUAAAUUAUUGCUGUUGUCUUGUACAAUAUAGUGCUAGAUCACGCAGUUCUACCCCUCACCGUCACCUUUCUUCUCCUCCUCCUCCUCUGCCUCGAAGUUCCAAGAUCAGGAGCCUAAGAGGGACAAGCAUUUUAUUGUAUUAUGUUUGAAGACUUAGCGGUACACUAUGUGAUUUCUUUCCAUCUGCUCUAGCCGUGGUGGACGAAGUUUGGUACCUUGGGAGGUGGUAGAUAUCCCGUGGAAUUGGUGGAGGUGCGUGCAAGCUAGCCCGGAUACCACAGUUAGCAAAGAACAAAAGGAUUCUUCUUUUCAAAUAACAACCGGUCCAAUUUGAGAUUGCUUAUAUUGAGGAAGCUAAAAAUGUACUUAUCUUGUUGGGACAAUUUUCUUUUAAUCAUGCGUAAGGUGAUACAUGUUCAACCAAACCUUGUAUCAUGCUUCACAUUUAAGUUUGUAUGUUCUUCAGAACCUUGGAAUUCUCGAUAUUAGUAGGAAAGCCUAGAUUCAUCAAGAGGACUGGAUUAGAAAUGGGAUUCACAUUGGUAGUGGUAGAAAUUACAAGGAUUCAUAUUAUCUUCAAGCACAAGCAAUGUGCUAUUUGAACUUAUAAGAGCUUUCUGCAGACUUACGAGAUUUGAGAAAGAGGAGACUGGGGCGUGCUAGAUUAUCUUGAAGACAAAGGUGACCUAAAUAAAGGAGAUGGAGAAAGAAGUGAUGAAGAAAUUGACCUUACUUGAGAAGAUUUUUGAAUUUUUGAUAGAUGCUUUGAUAUCAAUCUUUUUUAUAAUGAAUUUCGUGAAACUUAUCGCCACUCGAAUUUUAUACCAUGUGGGAAAACUAAUGAACAUUUGACUUUAACAUUUUGCUUUUGGGUUUGGAUUACUAGUUUGUUGCAUAUUUUAAUUUGGAUUAUUAUUAAUGAAAGAUUUUGUUUUGA